GGAUGUGUAGGCAACCUGGCUCCGACAUCUGCCACCCCAUUGAUAGUCAGGGUUGAUUUGGCUGAUCUAGCUGGCUAGGCAAGUAUACCCUUCUUUCCUCACUGUUCCAUGUGCUUCCCUCCUGAAGCUGCACGCUUGGCUGAAGAGGAUGACCUUCUCCAAUAGAAGGAAGACCAUCCUUGGGUCAAGGGUAUAUGAGUAGCUGUGCUCCCCUACUAGAACCUCCAAACAAGUCUCAAGGUCCAUUGUCUUCAGUGAUCAUAUAGGGAAGGUAAGUAUCAAAGAGUGCCAGGUUAUUAGAACAAAGUGUACUUGUGUUU
rnacentral:snRNA from 1 species